rnacentral:misc_RNA from 1 species
UUCUCCACUCUUUCUCGCCAACUGCGGAGGUGAAGGGGCGCACAUAUCCCCUCCUCCCUCCGCCUCUCUGCGCCUCACAUGCGAAGGCUCUCCGGCUCGCCGAUGGCGUCCUCUGCCCACGAAGCAGCUGACGCCGGCAGCGGCGACGUGGAUAUGGCGGGGGUGCAGGUGCUGGAGAGCAGCGUAGAUUUCAUGUCACUCUUCUACUGCCACCUCACUUCUUGUCCGCCGCACGGGCCAUUUGUGUACUACGCCGCCAUGACGCUUCUGAGGCGUGCGAAGCGGCGGUACGGCGCCAGCGGCAGCAACAGCGUCACGGGCGCGGACGUCUGCAGCGCCUAUGCGUCGUGGAGUAAUGACGCGAUGGGUUCGGACGGCGCAGCUGCGGUUCUCCGCGCGCUGACGAUCCCGAAUGUGAUGGCGCUGAUCGAGAAGCGCUAUGAUACGUCACACUUGUCGAACUGGCCGCUUCUAUACGUGCCGGCAGAGAUACGCAGCGCGGAUGUGGACGCCCUGAUACAGCAGCGGCAGCAGCAGCCGCAGCAGGGGUAGUGAAACGCAGUUGUGAAACUGGUGUUAACGCCUUGCGGUGUUGUUGCUGCAGCGGAAAAGGGGCGCUGGGAGGGUAACGGUUGUGUUCUCCGAUGAACCUUGCCGUGUGUUGCGUCUCUCUCCCUCUGCCUUCGAAGACCGAAACUAGAGUUGAUGAGACCCGCACAGAAGACACAGGGAACACAAAAAAAAAGAUGGAAGCAGCAUUGCAUGUGCGAAGGGAGAAUGGCAGCGUCUCGUGCAGACCAGCCCCCGCCCACUUACCUCCUCCUCCCCCCCCUCGCACACACGCGCACACACUCCAACAGGCAUAAGUAGCAUGUCCACGCGUCCAGCGUUGCGAUUCUUGCCCUCUGCUCGCUGUCCAUGCCGCACCCACCCUCCUCCAGCGGCAUCUCUCACUCUUUCGCACUUCGUCUUCGCGUCUCACACUCCCUCUCGGCUUGAGUUGAUGCGUCACUCGCUCGCAUUCCCUGCGCCGCGCUCGUGCGACGCUCGCUGACCAG